rnacentral:rRNA from 1 species
GACGAACGCUGGCGGCGUGCCUAAUACAUGCAAGUAGAACGCACAGGAUGCACCGUAGUUUACUACACCGUAUUCUGUGAGUUGCGAACGGGUGAGUAACGCGUAGGUAACCUGCCUGGUAGCGGGGGAUAACUAUUGGAAACGAUAGCUAAUACCGCAUAAGAACAUUUACUGCAUGGUAGAUGUUUAAAAGGUGCAAGAGCAUCACUACCAGAUGGACCUGCGUUGUAUUAGCUAGUUGGUGAGGUAACGGCUCACCAAGGCAACGAUACAUAGCCGACCUGAGAGGGUGAUCGGCCACACUGGGACUGAGACACGGCCCAGACUCCUACGGGAGGCAGCAGUAGGGAAUCUUCGGCAAUGGGGGGAACCCUGACUGAGCAACGCCGCGUGAGUGAAGAAGGUUUUCGGAUCGUAAAGCUCUGUUGUUAAGGAAGAACGUGUGUGAGAGUGGAAAGUUCACACAGUGACG